CGAUUGCCGGGGGAGCAGGGGAGGAGUGUGAAAUGUUUCUUAGCUUAGGUGAGGAGAGCAUAAGUUGCCAGUGCGGUGAAUCAUCGAUGGGAUCCCGUGACCACACAGGCGGGGGGGAUUAGGUGAGAGCUGGGGAACUUCCUCUAGGAGGGAAGCAUUCACCAUUGCAGUAGAAAAUCAGGACGUCUGGAGCGGAAAAGGUGUGCUCGAAGCUGUGUGUCCUCAUGUCAAGAAGCAGCGGACCGGCUCCCCACUGUGAAGCACCUGAAGGCUGCAGCCCAUUACAGGUCCAGAGUCAUUAAAAAUGGAUGCAGGGAGCUCUGCCCCAGUUGCACUGGCUCCCUGGUCCCGCAUCACGACACGACGCAGCACGCACGGCCUUCAACAGGACGGCAGCAUACAACACGCAUCGGUGCGACGAUUGACCUGGAAUUGCAGAGGGAGCAAAUCCCAACAGUUGAUCCCGGGGCUGCUGAGGCUACAUGAAUCAACAGCCCAUCCACUUCAGGUGUGUCUCCCUACCUCUUCUCGAGGGUGAACUUUGGCGUCGGCAGUGUGGCUGGUCUGCCGUGGCAGUUGCAGGGCCCAGCGCGGCUGCCGCAUCGUGUGCGUGGCGUCCCAUGUGCGGCACGGCGCGUCUUUUGUGUCUCCCCAUUCCGCGUCAUCGACGGCGCCUGCCUGUCUGCUGACUGAGGUUGGAGGCGGAAGCGUG
ensembl:lncRNA